rnacentral:rRNA from 1 species
UAAGGAAUAUUGGACAAUGGAGGCAACUCUGAUCCAGCCAUGCCGCGUGAAGGAAUAAGGCCCUAUGGGUUGUAAACUUCUUUUAGACGGGACAAAACCCCUUUACGUGUAAAGGGUUGAUGGUACUGUCAGAAUAAGCAUCGGCUAACUUCGUGCCAGCAGCCGCGGUAAUACGAAGGAUGCAAGCGUUAUCCGGAAUUAUUGGGUUUAAAGGGUGCGUAGGCGGACUAAUAAGUCAGUGGUGAAAGCCUGCAGCUUAACUGCAGAAUUGCCAUUGAUACUGUUAGUCUUGAGUACAGUUGAGGUAGGCGGAAUGUGUCAUGUAGCGGUGAAAUGCUUAGAUAUGACACAGAAUACCAAUUGCGAAGGCAGCUUGCUAAGCUGUAACUGACGCUGAGGCACGAAAGCGUGGGGAGCAAACA